rnacentral:rRNA from 1 species
CAGUCGCCGCGGGAAAACCGAGGGUGCAAGCGUUAAUCGGAAUUACUGGGCGUAAAGCGCGCGUAGGUGGUUUGUUAAGUUGGAUGUGAAAGCCCCGGGCUCAACCUGGGAACUGCAUCCAAAACUGGCAAGCUAGAGUACGGUAGAGGGUGGUGGAAUUUCCUGUGUAGCGGUGAAAUGCGUAGAUAUAGGAAGGAACACCAGUGGCGAAGGCGACCACCUGGACUGAUACUGACACUGAGGUGCGAAAGCGUGGGGAGCAAACAGGAUUAGAUACCCGCGUAGUCCCUGUCUCUUAUAA